rnacentral:rRNA from 1 species
UAUCAACCUGAACUCAGUCGUGAUUACCCGCUGAACUUAAGCAUAUCAUUUAGCGGAGGAAAAGAAACUAAAAAGGAUUCCCUUAGUAACGGCGAGUGAAACGGGAUGAGCCCAGCGCCGAAUCGAUCAGCCUAUGGUUGCUUCGAAAUGUGGCGUAUAGGUGUAGUCUUCCAGCAGUGUCGUGAGUCCGAAGUCCUUACGAUUGAGGCCAUAGACCAGAGAGGGUGCGAGUCCCGUCCUGGAUUGCGAUGCUGUUGGUUCGAUUGCUCCUUGGAGUCGGGUUGCUUGAAAGUGCAGCCUAAAGUGGGUGAUAAACUUCAUCUAAGGCUAAAUAUUGACUCGAUUGCGAUAGCGAACAAGUACCGUGAGGGAAAGUUGCAAAGGACUUUGAAGAGAGAGUUCAAGAGAACGUGAAAUCGCUGGAGUGGAACCGGAGACAGUUGAUGUUGCUUGGAGACAAGUUUGGUGGCUGGUCGCUUAGUUGUGAUCGUCGCCGGAUGUCGUUUCCUAUGCUACGCCGACGGCGUUGGUCGCUCGUUCUGGCCCGACAGUGUUGCCCAGCUCGCAAGAGUCGGUGUCUUGUUGUCGGUCGUUGGUUCGUGGUGGCUAGCGUUUAGUUACGCUAGUGUGUGUGACGUCGGUGUGAAAGUCGACGACGUUUCCGACCCGUCUUGAAACACGGAUUGCGGAGUGCUUGUCUACUGCGAGUCAAAGGGUGUUAAAACCUUGCGGCGAAAUGAAAGUGAAGGUCAGUCUUGAAUUGGCCGACGUGGGAUCGGUGCUCCUCGGAGUGCUGCGCACCACGGCCCUGUGCGUGUCACUUGUGACUGUGCAGAGGUUGAGCAGUUGGCAAACGACCCGAAAGAUGGUGAACUAUGCCUGAGCAGGAUGAAGCCAGAGGAAACUCUGGUGGAAGUCCGUAUCGGUUCUGACGUGCAAAUCGAUCGAUAGACUUGGGUAUAGGGGCGAAAGACUAAUCGAACCAUCUAGUAGCUGGUUCCUUCCGAAGUUUCCCUCAGGAUAGCUGGAUCUCCGGCAGUUAUAUUCGGUAAAGCUAAUGAUUAGAGGCCUUGGGGACGUAAUGUCCUCAACCUAUUCUCAAACUUUCAAUGGAUAUGAAGUUGCAGUUUCUUUAGUGAACUGUCAACGUGAAUGCGAGGUCCAAGUGGGCCAUUUUUGGUAAGCAGAACUGGCGCUGUGGGAUGAACCAAACGUGGAGUUAAGGUGCCUAACUUCUCGCUCAUGAGACCCCAUAAAAGGUGUUGGUUGAUAUUGACAGCAGGACGGUGGCCAUGGAAGUCGGUAUCCGCUAAGGAGUGUGUAACAACUCACCUGCCGAAUCAACUAGCCCUGAAAAUGGAUGGCGCUUAAGCGAGAGACCUAUACUCCGCCGUUGCGGCAUGUGCGUUGUCUAGCGCCAGGCCGUAACGAGUAGGAAGGUCGUGGCGGUUGCUUUGAAGGCUAUGAGCGUGGGCUCGGCUGGAGCUUCCGUCAGUGCAGAUCGUAAUGGUAGUAGCAAAUAUUCAAGUUCGAUCCUUGAAGACUGAAGUGGAGAAGGGUUCCACGUGAACAGUAGUUGGAUGUGGGUCAGUCGAUCCUAAGGUACUGGCGAACGCCUUGUAUCAUCGGUGGCGAAAAGCUUGCUUUUGGUCCCCGUUUGUCGAAAGGGAAUAGGGUUAAUAUUCCCUAACUGAGAUGCAAAGAUUGUGUUCUUCGGAGCACAAGCGCGGUAACGCAUUCGAACUUGGUUAGUCGCUCAAAGACCGAGCUAGAGUUUUCUUCUCUAGUUAAGGAACGGACUCCCUGGAAUUGGUUCAGCCAGAGAUGGGGACGUUGUUUCCGAAAAGCACCGCGGUUUCUGUGGUGUCUCGUGCUCUUUGAACGGCCCUUAAAACACCAAGGGAGGCUAUUAAUUUGCACUCAAUCGUACCGAUAUCCGCAUUAGGUCUCCAAGGUGAACAGCCUCUAGUCGAUAGAAUAAUGUAGGUAAGGGAAGUCGGCAAACUAGAUCCGUAACUUCGGGAAAAGGAUUGGCUCCAGUGGUUGGAACGAUUGGCCAGUUGGUUGAUGCUUGUCCGGCGCUAUUCUGUCUGCUUGAUGCUUUCGGGCUGAUGGCGGACUAGUGAUAGUGCUUGCUUGUGGACGCUUUCUGGUGUGUGCUAGGACCUCGGUUCUAGUAUCCUGAUCGCUCAUCUAAACAACCGUACUGGAACCGGUACGGACUCAGGGAAUCCGACUGUCUAAUUAAAACAGAGGUGACAGAUGGUCCUUGCGGACGCUGACUGUCACUGAUUUCUGCCCAGUGCUCUGAAUGUUAAAUCGUAGUAAUUCGAGUAAGCGCGGGUAAACGGCGGGAGUAACUAUGACUCUCUUAAGGUAGCCAAAUGCCUCGUCAUUUAAUUGUUGACGCGCAUGAAUGGAUUAACGAGAUUCCUACUGUCCCUAACUACUAUCUAGCGAAACCACAGCCAAGGGAACGGGCUUGGCAAAAAUAGCGGGGAAAGAAGACCCUGUUGAGCUUGACUCUAGUUUGACAUUGUGAAGAGUCAUGAGAGGUGUAGCAUAGGUGGGAGACUUCGGUCGCCGGUGAAAUACCACCACUUUCAUCGACUCUUUACUUAUUCGGUUAAAAGAGAAUUGGCUUCACGGCCUUUUU